GGGGAAUAUUGGGCAAUGGGCGCAAGCCUGACCCAGCAACGCCGCGUGAAGGAAGAAGGCUUUCGGGUUGUAAACUUCUUUUAAGGGGGAGAGGAAGAGGAGGUUCCCCUUGGAAAAGCCCAGGGCUACUUAGUGCCAGCAGCCGCGGUAAUACGUAGGUGGCAAGCGUUGUCCGGAUUUACUGGGUGUAAAGGGCGUGUAGCCGGGAAGGUAAGUCAGAUGUGAAAUCUGGGGGGCUCAACCUCCAAACUGCAUUUGAAACUACUUUUCUUGAGUAUCGGAGAGGUAAUCGGAAUUCCUUGUGUAGCGGUGAAAUGCGUAGAUAUAAGGAAGAACACCAGUGGCGAAGGCGGAUUACUGGACGACAACUGACGGUGAGGCGCGAAAGCGUGGGGAGCAAACA
rnacentral:rRNA from 1 species